rfam:Dialister sp. CAG:588 genomic scaffold, scf86
UUUAAGUAUGUUAUAAUAUUUUUACAUCAUUUUGCAAUUUUGAUUUAUGGCAGUCUUCGGGACCUAUGCAAUAAGGCCCCAUGAAUCCUGUCAGGUCCGAGAGGAAGCAUCAGUAAGUGGUACGUUUUAUGUGCCAUAGUAUAUCCUGAAGGCUGUCAUAAAUCAGAAUUGCAAUUUUUAU